rnacentral:rRNA from 1 species
UACCUACGGGACGCAGCAGUGGGGAAUAUUGCACAAUGGGCGAAAGCCUGAUGCAGCAACGCCGCGUGAAGGAAGAAGGCCUUCGGGACGUAAAAUUCUGUCCUUGGGGAAGAAGAACUGACGGCACCCAAGGAGGAAGCCCCGGCUAACUACGUGCCAGCAGCCGCGGUAAUACGUAGGGGGCAAGCGCUAUCCGGAAUUAUUGGGCGUAAAGAGUACGUAGGUGGCAACCUAAGCGCAGGGUUUAAGGCACUGGCUCAACCAUUGUUCGCCCUGCGCACUGGGACGCUUGAGAGCAGGAGAGG